UACAGAGGGGGCAAGCGUUAUUCGGAAUUAUUGGGCGUAAAGGGCGCGUAGGCGGCUUUUCAAGUGACGGGUGAAAUCCCUUGGCUUAACCGAGGAACUGCCUGUCAGACUGGAAGGCUUGAGACCGGGAGAGGUGAGUGGAAUUCCCAGUGUAGCGGUGAAAUGCGUAGAUAUUGGGAGGAACACCAGUGGCGAAGGCGGCUCACUGGACCGGAACUGACGCUGAGGCGCGAAAGCGUGGGGAGCAAACAGG
rnacentral:rRNA from 1 species